ensembl:lncRNA
AGCUUACUGAACUGAACUGAGCUCAAGACCAGCAGCUGGAACUCCUCCUUUCCUUCUCUGGAUAUCAGUUGAAAGUGAAAGUCAGCAGGUCGUUUCGGGGAAACACAUCGCAAUGACAGCGGAGGUGCGUGCACUGCUGAGCACCUGAGACUUCAGGGCAGUUGACAAUGCGGCCCUAAGAACAGUGAGGGCCAAACUGUCCCUGACUAUCAAAGAGGCAAAGUGCGCAUACGGCCAGAAAAUCCAUGGUCACUUCAUGCUUAGCG